UACAGAGGGUGCGAGCGUUGUUCGGAAUUAUUGGGCGUAAAGCGCGUGUAGGCGGCUUUGCAAGUCGGGUGUGAAAGCCCUCAGCUCAACUGAGGAAGUGCGCCCGAAACUGCAGAGCUUGAGUACCGGAGAGGAUGGCGGAAUUCCCGAAGUAGAGGUGAAAUUCGUAGAUAUCGGGAGGAACACCAGUGGCGAAGGCGGCGAUCUGGGAAGAUACUGACGCUGAGGUGCGAAAGCGUGGGGAGCAAACAGG
rnacentral:rRNA from 1 species